CCCACACCCCACGCACGCACUAAAAAACCAGACCGCCCGAAACAGCGCUCCUCCCCGAUCCCCUCGACUAAACGCCGCUGCCCUCGUGCGAUCCCGAUCCCCUUGACUAAACGCAGCGUGCGAUCCCCUCCCCUCGAGUAAACGCCGCCGAUGACCUCCCGGAUCUUGUGCGAUCUAUCUCGCUGCCGCCUACGUCCGGGGUGGCACCGUCCGGGGUCGAGGCCAACAUCGGCGUCAUCAAGUGCGGACGUCGAGGCCCCCGACUCGUGGGCCGCCGCCGCCAUCACCUCACCCCGGGUCAGGGCGUGGCUGUGACCGCCGUGCGGGCAACGAGGAGCGCCGCAAGGGCGUACCGUGGAAGGCCUGGAUCAAGGAGGAGCACAGAUCGAGCAAGAUAAAGUGUGACGUGUGGGAGAUUGGCCGGGGAGGAUACCGCCGUAGGUGACGCCAUGAACCGAGGCUGAUGUUGGAGAGCCGCGGCUCUGCUUGGGAGCCGGCCGGUGAGAGGCAGCUCUCCGAGGUGGUGUUGCCCGUGGCGGGGAUGGACAAUCCAGUGGCCGGCCCGCACCCCUGGACGCUCCUGGGGCGGGCCAUGAUAGUGAGUGUGAUGGGUGCUGGAGCAGCAUGAUGCCAACAACCACGAGCUUUGGGUGCUUAGUGUGUUGGCGAGGCAUAGAAGGGAUGAGAGCGAGAUAGACAUGUGUGUGCAUGGAUUGAGAGAGAGAGAGAGGGAGGUAGAGAGAAGAAGAAUUGUGCUGCUGCAGGAACAGGUGUACGUUCUAUAACAUCUAUACUUUAGUUGGAAAUGGCAGCUUCACUGAACUGCAUCAGUUGUAAGCUUCCCUAAAUUCAUAUAUAUCUAUAAAGUAGGGCACUUCUACCUCCCUGUAGUAAUAAAGAAGUAUACUGUAAAAUUCGUAGAUGAUUAAUACUAUUUCGUUUGCAGGUUCAGCCAAUUCCUUUGAGGUAUUAACAAGUAGCCGAGCUUUUGGUGUCAUCUCUACUCAGGGAAAUACAUGUCAAAUCCUCAUACAAAAUGUUGAUCUAUUGUUCUUCUAGAAUUAUAGAUUUCCGAAUAAUUAGAUGGCCAGUUAUGCAACACAAUAUUCCCAUAGUAUUGAAAUCUUAUGUUCUCCAAAGUGUCCUUCAGCAAAUGGCACUUGAACUUAAUAUGGGAUACUCCAAAUCCAUAAGAGCAGGCUAUAUCUGAUAUUUUCUCCAUACAAAGUCGGUAGACUUGAUUUAUGUUUUCCCCUACUUGUCAAUAUGAUGGCCCGUUGUAAAUAAAUGAGGCUUGGACAUCACUUGUACUUGGGAACUACUUUUCAGUGACAGCUGUAUUGACGAAGGUACUCUUUUUUUCUUAAAGAUUGAUUUCUUCGGUGGUGUGUGUUUUACUUUACAGUUUUGAUAAGAUUCCAUGGCCAAUACACUUUUUUUCACAGUUUACAGCAGAUUACAGCAGCCUCAAAGGUAAAAUGAUCUGAACAUUUUUUUCACAAUACACUGGUAGUACAUAGUAAUAGCCCUCUUAAUAAUUUCUAUAUAAAAGUAGGAUCUGAACAUUUUGUUGAGUUGUUUUUGCACCAGAUCGUUGGCCAUUAACGGUUAUCUAUGGCACUAAAACUUGUUGAUCUCAACACAUUCACCUCACAACACUUGUUGGCUGAAACAUGUGCAUUAGCACCUAAGAAGUUGAGGUCAAAUUAAUGAGGAGUUGUGUGAUCUGAGGAGAAACUAUUCUCUUGCAAAUCGGAUAGUUGUUGUAGGAAUUAAAAGGCACAUGAUUGUACUGGGAUUUUGUUUCUACACGUUCCUCGGCCCUAAUGUCUACAUGAGGUGUGAGUUCAACGGGUUGAGGAAAUCACAUUACUAUAAGAAUGAUGCCGCAGCAAAGAAAAUGUUGUCAGCCUUGGACGAUCCAUUCACUCGAUUCUUGAAACCAUUACCUUUUUUGAAGCAAGAAUAGCUAGCACGCAAGGUGCCCUCGCAGGUGUAGGUUUAUCCAUUGGCUACCCGUUGGAGCAUCACUUGCAGGGCUCUCUGUAAUGUCACUUUUUGUAGAAAUGACUCUCUAGAGACGCGACAUAAGAGCGCAAAACAUUUGACAGCAGAUCGCUUAUGAUAACACAUCCAAGGAAGGAAGGAGAUUGAGGUCGGCGCCUCUUGAAGGCAUGCAUGCUUGUCACUGAGAGAGGGAAGGGCAUCUCUUUUUUUGGGUUGCAAUUUCCACCUUGUUGUUGGGUGAGCUGAUUUGUUGUUUGUCAUACCUCUUGUGGAUAAUCAGACAUGGGGUGCAUGGUAAAAUUAGGACAGACUGAAGGCAGCAGAUUCCGUGUCGGCUGUGCACUUUGAGGAGGACAUUGUCUUUGUAUAAGUGCCCUACAAUCGUCCCUUUAUAGCCACAGAUAAGGCCUUCAGAAUCAAAGGUUCAGGAGGACUUUUGUUGCACUAAUGCUUCUUCGUUGACCAUCUCGCUGUUCUCCCUUGCAUAUGGAUAUGGCCGCAUAAAUCGCACCGAUGGAUCCAGUCCUUCGCCAGGUCCAACGUGCCUGCACCGGCCUCAAGCACGGGAGACACUAUUACCUUGUGAUCUAACUGGUUACCACAAUCAAAUCCAUUUUUGCCCAUUUAAAUUAGUUAGCUCAGUUUUGUUGAUAACUGAGUUUCAUUGGUUAUAUAUACUGAAGUGUCUUUGUCAUUUUGUUUUACAAUAUAUUCUAAUUGUCAGGAUUUUUGCUACAUUUUUGGUGUAGAUUUUAGGGACAUUACCGUAGUGCUAAUGCCUUCCGUGCAGGUUAUUCAGUAAGCGCA